CUUACAAGUUAAUACAGGUUUCACCUAAUCCUUACAAGUUAAUACAGGUUUCAACUAAUCCUUACAAGUUAAUACAGGUUUCACCUAAUCCUUACAAGUUAAUACAGGUUUCACCUAAUCCUCACAAGUCCAUACAGGUGUCACCUAACCCUCACAAGUCCAUACAGGUGUCACCUAACCCUUACAAGUCCAUACAGGUUUCACCUAAUCCUUACAAGUCCAUACAGGUGUCACCUAACCCUCACAAGUCCAUACAGGUGUCACCUAACCCUUACAAGUCCAUACAGGUGUCACCUAACCCUCACAAGUCCAUACAGGUGUCACCUCACCCUCACAAGUCCAUACAGGUGUCACCUAACCCUUACAAGUCCAUACAGGUUUCACCUAACCCGUACAAGCCCACACUAGUACUGCCAUUUCCCUGACUGCAUCUCCUCUCUUCCUGUAGAAAGCAGACAAGCGUGCCCUGGAGACCAAGGUGAGCCGCAUGCAGUUUGACUCCAUGACAGAGGAGCUCAACACCAUGUUCCAGGAGCUGCUCAGCAAGAUCACCGGCCAGGAGCAGGACUGGCACAAAAUCAUUGACAAAAUCUCCACCGAGAUGGAGUGCAAGCUGGACCGGAUUGAGCUGGAUCCUGUGAAGAAGCAGCUGGAGGACCGCUGGAAGAGCAUCCGUAAGCAGCUGCAGGCCCAGCCUGCCCCGAAGGAGGACGACGCUGCAGGCAUCAGGAAGUAAGUCACAUGUCACUGGUCACAGCCAGGCCCAGCCUGCCCCGAAGGAGGACGACGCUGCAGGCAUCAGGAAGUAAGUCACAUGUCACUGGUCACAGCCAGGCCCAGCCUGCCCCGAAGGAGGACGACGCUGCAGGCAUCAGGAAGUAAGUCACAUGUCACUGGUCACAGCCAGGCCCAGCCUGCCCCGAAGGAGGACGACGCUGCAGGCAUCAGGAAGUAAGUCACAUGUCACAGCCAGGCCCAGCCUGCCCCGAAGGAGGACGACGCUGCAGGCAUCAGGAAGUAAGUCACAUGUCACAGCCAGGCCCAGCCUGCCCCGAAGGAGGACGACGCUGCAGGCAUCAGGAAACAACUAGUGGCAAGGUUCCACUGCAUCUCCUGCGACCGCCCAGUCGAUAUGCUUACCCCAGGCACUUGGUCACCGUGCCCUCCACUCCUGGCCUACCCUCCUAGAAGUCCAACCGACCAUACACCAUCUAUGAGCUUGAGCAGGUUCGCCAGCACUGCAGAAGCGAGCGCAUCCCUGAGAUGGCGGACUACAGUUACCUGGCCAUGUCCCGGAGCUGUGGAGGCAGCCACACCGUGACCUACCCCAACCGCCGCUACACCCGCCUGCAGCACUUCAGCCACUUCAUCCAGGCUGAGGAGGAGACACCGCCCAUCUCCAGCUCCCCACUGCGCAUUCAGCAGGCAUGUGCAAGAGCAAAGACAAGAUCAUGUGCUCCCAGUUCCAGAAGCCUGGCUGCGUGACCCCUGUGCGACCCCAGAGUGCCAAGACCCAGCGCAGCCGCUCAGCCUCAGGCAGCUCUGUGCGGGACCGGCCCCAUGUCUUCUUUAGGCUGCCUGUCCCAGGCUACCCUUCCCCAGAGCUCGUCCCAUGCUGACACCACCAGUGAGCUGCUGCAGCAAGAUCUGGAGCUUCACAUGGACCUGAGCCAGUCGGAGGAAGAGCCCGUCAUCAUCCUGUAGGGGGCGAUGGAGAGCCCCACACACCUUAUUUUAAUAAACCGUUUACAGCAGCACCAGGAGGGUAUCCUGGUCUUCAUUUUGUAAUGGAGCAUACAGACGUUGUGAAAAUCAAUUCUGAUAUUAGUCAGUUAGGUUAUUUAUGGAUUGUAAUGGAAGAACACAAUUCUGGGACCUAUGAACACUGUUUCCAUGCAACAAAAUAGCUGAGUCACAAAAUAGCUGAGUCACAUUUUACAGGUCAGAUACCUUACGGGUGGCUACAUUACGAUUUUGGUUUAUGAUGCCUGAUUUUCAAUGACCUUCAUAGAGAAGCUUUCAGGCAGGUGACCUCAAAUACCAGACUGUUUGGAGGCAGAACAAUACCACCAUGGAGCAAUUAAUUUGACAUAUAGGGUCUUAUAGAGCGGUAUCAUUAAGGGCUUGAAAUGUCUUCCCUCUCACAGACCCAAUUCUCUAGACAGUUUCCUAGAAGAAGGGGCUUUGCUUACACACAUUUUGUGUCAAUGAGAAAUAUGAUGUAUAUCUAUCUCUAUCCAUGCCUUACACACUCAGUGGCCAGUUUAUUAGGUACACACAUCUAGUACCGGGUCGGACCUCCCUUUGCCUCUAGAAUUCUUCAGGGCAUGGAAACAUUGCUCAAUUGGUAUCAAGGGAUCUAACUUUGCCAGGAACACAUUCCCCACACCAUUAUACCACUGCCACCAGCCUGUACCAUUGACAGCAGGCAGUAUGGGGCCAUAGACUCAUGUGGUUAUGCCAAAUCUUGACUCUGUCAUCAGCAUGAUACAACAGGAACCGGGAUUCGUCGAACCAGGCAACGUUUUUCCACUCAUCAAUAGUCCAGUGUUGGUGAUCGCGUGACAACAGGAACUGCUUGUUUUAAGCUGAUAGGAGUAGAACCUGGUGUGGUCGGCUGAUGCAAUAGCCCAUCCGUGACAAGGAUCAAUGAGUUGUGCAUUCAGUCGCUUAGGUCACUCGUUUUUCCCCUUCUAAUGUUCAUUCGAACAUUAACUGAAUUCCUGGAUUCCUGUCUGCCUGCUUUAUAUAGCAAGCCACGGCCUCCUGACUCGUGAAAGAGGUGGUGUACCUAAUAAACUGAGUAUAAGUGCUCCCUUUCAUAGCAUUUGGACGUAUUCAGGAGUAAUGAUGCUACUGAAAGGUAUUUCAGGAGAGUCUUUAAGACAGGCAGUUAAUCUGAAUGUAAGAUUUCCAUUGGUAGAUGUAUCCUUGUUUUCAAAGAUAAAUGGGCCUUCAUGGAAUA